AGUGAACGCUGGCGGUAGGCCUAACACAUGCAAGUCGAACGGCAGCACAGUAAGAGCUUGCUCUUACGGGUGGCGGGUGGCGGACGAGUGAGGAGUACAUCGUAAUCUACUUUUUCGUGGGGGUUAACGUAGGGAAACUUACGCUAAUACCGCAUACGACCUACGGGUGAAAGCAGGGGAUAUUUGGACCUUGCGCGAUUGGAUGAGCCGAUGUGGGAUUAGCUAGUUGGCGGGGUAAAGGCCCACCCAGGCGACGAUCCGUAGCUGGUCUGAGAGGAUGGUCAGCGACACUGGAACUGAGACACGGUCCAGAGUCCUACGGGAGGCAGCAGUGGGGAAUAUUGGACAAUGGGCGCAAGCCUUAUCCAGCCAUACCGCGUGGGUGAAGAAGGCCUUCGGGUUGUAAAGCCCUUUUGUUGGGAAAGAAAAGCAGCAGGUUAAUACCCCGCUGUUCUGACGGUACCCAAAGAAUAAGCACCGGCUAACUUCGUG
rnacentral:rRNA from 1 species